UCUUUAUUUCACGUGCUCUCUCACCGGUCAGAGAGGCGAGAGAGCAUGUGAAAUGAGGAGA
rfam:Pristionchus pacificus strain PS312 contig2360, whole genome shotgun sequence.